rnacentral:rRNA from 1 species
GUAGGUGGCAAGCGUUGUCCGGAAUUAUUGGGCGUAAAGCGCGCGCAGGCGGUUCUUUAAGUCUGAUGUGAAAGCCCACGGCUCAACCGUGGAGGGUCAUUGGAAACUGGAGAACUUGAGUACAGAAGAGGAAAGCGGAAUUCCACGUGUAGCGGUGAAAUGCGUAGAGAUGUGGAGGAACACCAGUGGCGAAGGCGGCUUUCUGGUCUGUAACUGACGCUGAGGCGCGAAAGCGUGGGGAGCAAACAGGAUUAGAUACCCUGGUAGUCCACGCCGUAAACGAUGAGCGCUAAGUGUUAGGGGGUUUCCGCCCCCCUUAGUGCUGCAGCUAACGCAUUAAGCACUCCGCCUGGGAGUACGGCCGCAAGGCUG